rnacentral:snRNA from 1 species
AUUGCUUCUCGGCCUUUUGGCUAAGAUAAAGUGUAGUAACUCUCUGAUUUGUCACUUCCAUUCUAUGAGGGAGGUCCUUUCAUUAUCUUCAUUUUAUGAGAAGGUCAGUGAGGAAGGGAGAGGUUAUUGACUUGCCCAAAAUCACACACCUGGCAGAACCGAGGUGGUCUGACUCCAA